AGGUGCCUUAUCAUGUACCUGUCACAAAGCCAAAGUAGGAGCAGCUGUUCAUUCUAAGAUUCAUAAAGCAACUUUCCAAGAUGAUGCUCUGAGGAGUGUACCAAAGAGCUCUGAAGAGCUUGAAGGUGGCAAGUACAGGAGUGGCACACCUAAACUGCUCCUGGCUGCCCUGGAACAUCCCACUGAAUCUAACAUUUAUGGAAAGGCAAGGGAAAGAAUUGCUCCACCUUGCAUGUACAAAACAAGAUGCCACGUUCCUCACAGCGUCCAGAGUUGACAUGGAUGAACAGCUCUCCCAGAGGGACCUGCUUCCCUGUGGGAAGGUGCUGCCCAGGACAGUAACGUUUCUGCUACUGGAGCUGAGGGAAAAGGCCAUAUUUGGGACUUGAAGUUAGGUCAGAAUUGGAGCUGGAACUUUGAAUACAAUUUGUAUUCCCCCAAAAUGGUGCUGUACUCUACUCUCUCAGCCUUGUCCUCAGCUAACGUGUUGCAGUAUUGCUUAGGGAUGAGCUGUGCUGCUCCCACUGCUGUACUCUGGCUGGUUUGGAGUGUGGGGUCUGCCUGGCCGGGUCCAGGAGGAGCUGGGAAGAUGGACUGGCCUGCAGGACUGUUUGAAAGCUGCACAGACCUCUUUCCUAGCAGAAUGUUUAAUGGAAUCUGCUUCCUUGAAACCAAAAUGAGGCAACAGCUGAGAUUGCAGCAAGCUGCAACAUCUCAUUGCUGGAUGGAGGCACAUCCUGUUACAAGUGGUGCUGCUGCAAAACCUCAGAAAAAGAACCUACAGAGACCUGCCUGGUCUGUGAACUCCCCUGAGGUGAGCUGAAGACGUAAUUUCACUUGGUUUCUUUGAAGAAAGAGCUGUACAUACUCCAGGCAACUUCAGUGAACAGAAGCUUCAGUAAACCUAGACCUGAAUUUGAGAGAAUUUGGCUCAAUGGGCCUCAGGAAGAAGUUUUGAAUGUGGUGCCAGCCCAACAGCAGACGAUGAGAGAAACCGAGACAAGCACUUCCAAGAUAAGUAAUAAAUGAUAAUUGUUAUUUCCUGUUAUUCAUCUGAAUCUCUACUCCUGAGAAUUUGAGUUAAAUCCUAAAUUUUCCUUUUAUUUUUAAUCAGAUCAUCCAUCAAGUUAAAAAACAGCAACACAAGGAGGUCCUAAGAUAGGGUUUGCUCCAGUUUUCCUGCUGAGCAUCUGUUUAGGAAUUGCUGCUAAAAAAAGUCAGAGGGGAUGGUAGUUGCUGUGCUGUCACAUGGGCUGAUACAGCACAGAAUCUGCUUAGCAUUCUUGAAGGGAAAUUAUCCAAUGCUGUAACUCACAGUUUAUAAUUGGUUGCAUAUUAAUAUCUAAAAAAGGCAAUAAAAUCCACUGUGUGUUUAAAAAAAAUAGUAAGUAGGAGUAUUACAAGCUGAGCAGUGAAAAUCUGGAAGACUUCUUGGCUAGAGCAGGGCUGUGUGCAGUGCUGUUUCUCCCUUAAUUACAAGCAAUUUUAAAUCGUCUCCUUCCUUCAAAGAAGGAUUUUGUUCAGGGUUUGUGUUAAUUUUAAUCUUGCUAACGUGAUACUCUCUUGGAACCUCUCUCUUGUGUCAUAACAGUGAGAUGUGCUGCCUCUUUUGUCCCUGCCCUUUGGGAAAUGCAGUUACUGCUGCUCGUUGCCUCAGCCCUGCCAUUGUGACUAUCAGUGUACCUCCCUUGAAAGGAGAAGAAAACAAAACCCAACAGCAGCAUUGCUUCCCCCCCCCCCCCGCAAGAGGUUCACUUUUAUUUGUACUAGACUGUGCAAGUACUUCAUGAAAAUCAGGGAUUUAAAAUGUAUGGUGCUGUAUUAUAGUGGAAAGCUUGUUAUUCAGCACACUAAUUAUUUCUGAGUCACUGUAUUUAUGAAAUGGCGUGUAAUAACUACUUCACCGCCACGCAAAAGUAAAUAGUACAAAAGCAGGCAUUUUAUGAUUUUGACAUUUUAGUGUAUAAACAUAUUCCUGAGUCUCCUGGGGGGCUACUGGAAAUCAGAUAAUGGUUUUAUGACUUCUAAAAAAAUGAGGUUGAACUUCAUAGUCUGUAACGCUCCAUAUAUAUGGUUAAUGUUGCACAUUUUAUUACAGCCUCAGUAGCUUAUGUUACAAGUGUCAGCUGCAAAGAGAAAAUGUGCAAAGGCAGGUUUGUGGAACUUGGGGGGGAAAAACAUCACAAAACCUUGCAAUGCACACAUCAAAGCCCUUGGACAAGCUGUAAUGGCAGGUCCUGGACCAUGCUGGGACACCAGAAUUCACCCUCUGCUUUUUUUUUGUUUCAGGA